rnacentral:rRNA from 1 species
GACGUAGGGUGCGAGCGUUGUCCGGAUUUAUUGGGCGUAAAGAGCUCGUAGGCGGCUCGUCGCGUCGACCGUGAAAACCCGCGGCUUAACUGCGGGCUUGCGGUUGAUACGGGCGGGCUAGAGUUCGGUAGGGGAGACUGGAAUUCCUGGUGUAGCGGUGAAAUGCGCAGAUAUCAGGAGGAACACCGGUGGCGAAGGCGGGUCUCUGGGCCGAUACUGACGCUGAGACGCGAAAGCGUGGGGAGCGAACAGG